rnacentral:rRNA from 1 species
CACGUAGGCACCAAGCGUUGUCCGGAUUUAUUGGGCGUAAAGAGCUCGUAGGCGGUUCGGUAAGUCGGGUGUGAAAACUUUGGGCUCAACCCAAAGCGUGCACUCGAUACUGCCGUGACUUGAGUUCGGUAGGGGAGUGGGGAAUUCCUAGUGUAGCGGUGAAAUGCGCAGAUAUUAGGAGGAACACCGGUGGCGAAGGCGCCACUCUGGGCCGAAACUGACGCUGAGGAGCGAAAGCGUGGGUAGCAAACAGGAUUAGAAACCCCGGUAGUCC